rnacentral:rRNA from 1 species
AGAGAGAAUCUCGGGAAUUGAGGAUAAUACUCCAUAGACCAUGGGAUCUGGAAUGACCCAUGGUUGAAAGUUCCGGCGCUUAAGGAUCGGUCUGCGGCCUAUCAGGUUGUAGUGGGUGUAACGUACCUACUAGCCUAUGACGGGUAUGGGCCUUGAGAGAGGGAGCCCAGAGUUGGAUUCUGAGACACGAAUCCAGGCCCUACGGGGCGCAGCAGUCGCGAAAACUUCACAAUGGGGGCAACCCCGAUGAGGGAAUUCCUAGUGCUAGCACAUUUGUGUUAGCUUUUCUUUAGCGUAGAUAACUAGAGGAAUAAGGGCUGGGUAAGACGGGUGCCAGCCGCCGCGGUAAUACCUGCAGCCCAAGUGGUGGUCGAUUUUAUUGAGUCUAAAACGUUCGUAGCCGGUUCGAUAAAUCUUUGGGUAAAUCGGGGGGCUUAACCUUCCGACUUCCGAGGAGACUGUCGAACUUGGGACCGGGAGAGGCUAGAGGUACUUCUGGGGUAGGGGUAAAAUCCUGUAAUCCUAGAAGGACCACCGGUGGCGAAGGCGUCUAGCUAGAACGGAUCCGACGGUGAGGGACGAAGCCCUGGGUCGCAAACGGGAUUAGAUACCCCGGUAGUCCAGGGUGUAAACGCUGCAGACUUGGUGUUGGAGGCCCUUUGGGGGCAUUCAGUGCCGGAGAGAAGUUGUUAAGUCUGCUACUUGGGGAGUACGUCCGCAAGGAUGAAACUUAAAGGAAUUGGCGGGGGAGCAC